AACCUAGCACACCUGCGGUGUGUACCUGCGGAGGGAUCAUUAACCUUUCAAAUCAGGGUGCGGCGCGGCCCCCGAGGAGCGGAAACAAUCCUUGGGAGGUAUGCGGGGGCUUCGAGCCCCCCAUUUACGCACGCACGACUGCCAUCCUUACUUUACGAGCACCUUCUGUUCUCCCUCGGCGGGGCAACCUGCCGUUGGAACCGAAUAAACUCUUUUUGCAUCUGGCAUUACCUGUUCCGA
rnacentral:misc_RNA from 1 species